UACGUAGGGUGCGAGCGUUGUCCGGAAUUAUUGGGCGUAAAGAGCUCGUAGGCGGUUUUGUUGCGUCGGCCGUGAAAACCUGCAGCUUAACUGUGGGCCUGCGGCCGAUACGGGCAGACUUGAGUUCGGUAGGGGAGACUGGAAUUCCUGGUGUAGCGGUGAAAUGCGCAGAUAUCAGGAGGAACACCGGUGGCGAAGGCGGGUCUCUGGGCAACAACUGACGCUGAGGAGCGAAAGCGUGGGGAGCGAACAGG
rnacentral:rRNA from 1 species